GUGGGCUGAACCCAGACAGCCUUGGGCACCCACACUUGGCCCUCAUUGGGCAGGUGGGCAGAAACAGGUGGGGGUGGGGUGUUAAUCUUUGACUCUUCCCUGUCCUGGGUCACACCCCAAUCUGCCUAAUAUCCCCCUGCAUGGCCUAGCCACUCAGAGGCCAGAGAGCUCGGGCCUCGGCCUGGCCACCGGAGGUCUCGGAAGGACAGAGCAGGCAAGGACAGACAUGCAAGCAGCAGGUGGCUGCAGGUACCAGAGUCAGUGUGGGUGGGGCUGGGGGGUUGGGGGUUGGGAGGAGGGUAUGUCAUAGUCAUACCCAAAGAGAUAGUGGGGUCUGCUGGUUGAUGGAUUUGGGGAACACUCCACUGCCUGUGCCCUUGGAGCUCAAGAGGAGAGUCACCACUGACUGAGACAAAGCCUGUCACAAACUUGGUCUCUUGUCUAUUUAUUUAUUUAUUUACUUACUUAUUUUUAUUGCUACCAGGGUUACUACUGGGGCUCGGUACCAGCACUAUGAAUCCACCACUCCUGGCAGCCAUUUUUUCCCUUUAAUUUAAUUUUCUAUUUUAUUUGACAUGUUAGAGAAUUUUUUUUUUAAUUUUCCCUUUUGUUGCCCUUGUUGUCCUAUUGUAGUUAUUAUUGUUGUUGUUGUUGGAUAGGACAGAGAGAAAAUGGAGAGAGGAGGGGAAGACAGAGAGGGGGAGAGAAAGAUAGACACCUGCAGACCUGCUUCACCACCUGUAAAGUGACUUCCCUGCAGGUGGGGAGCCGGGGGAUCGAACCAGGAUCCCAGGAUUACGCCAGUCCUUGUGCUUUGUGCCACGUGCGCUUAACCCACUGCGCUACCGCCCAACUCCCAGGACAGAGAAAUUGAGAAGGGACAGGGAGAGAGAACGAGAGCAAGAGAAAGAUGAACAUCUGCAGACCUGUUUCACUGCUCAUGAAUCAUCCCAUCCCCCUCACAGGUGUGAAGCAGGGGCUCAAACCUGAGUCUUCACAAAUGGUAAUUAUGUGUGUGCUCAACCAGGUGUGCCCCCACCCGACCCCCUCUUUUUUUUUUCCACCAGGGUUAUUGCUGGUGAUCAAUGUCUGCUUGAUGGCAUCACUAUUCCCAGCAGACAAUCUUUUUCCUUUUUCUUUUGGUAGAGGACAAGAGUAAGGAGGAGAGACAUGACAGCAAAAGAGACACACCUGAAGCUCUACCGCUUGUGAAGUUCCCCCACCCCUGCAGGUUGCCAAGAUCGUUAAGUGAGGGAAAGCAAAGUCUUUUCAACAAUUGUUUCUGGGACAACUGACUAGGCAUGUGAAAAGAAUGAUGCUGGACCUUACCUCAUAACAGAUGUCAAAGGAAACUCCCACUGCAAAAGCCAGAGCUAUGAAACUGUGAGAAGAAAACACUAGCAGACAGCUUCCUGACCUUGGAUUUGGCCACAGAUUCUUAGAUAUGACAUCAGCAGAAAGAAAAGAAAGAAGAAAAUAAAACACCAUAAAAAAGAAAACAGACAAACUUAACUGCAUUACAAUGUUAAACUUCUAUUCUACAAAUGAAAAGACAGUCCUCAGAAUGGGAGGAAGAAGUAUGUCAAAUCCUACGUGUUAGGGGACAGGCUGUCAUGAACUCAUAAGGAACUCUUAAAGUUUGGGCUGGUGAAAUAGCUCACUUGGAAAGUACAUUGCUUUGCCAUGUGUGCAACCCAGGUUCAAGCCCAGUCCCCACUGCGUUGAAGGAAGCUUUGUGGUCUCUUUCAUUCUCUGCUUCUCUGCCUUCUCUAUCUCAAUUAAAAAAAAAAAAAAUCCGGGGUCAGGUGGUGUCGCAUCUGGUUUAGCGUACAUGUUACAGUGAGCAAGGGCCUGGGUUUGAGCCCCCGGCUCCCACCUACAUGGGGAAAGCUUCAUGGUGGUGAAGCAGGGCUGCAGGUAUCUCUCUGUUUCUCUCCCUCUCUAUCUCCCCUGUCCUCUCAAUUUCUAGCUGUCUCUAUUCAAUAAACCAAUAAAGAUAAUAAAAAAAUAAAAAUAAAACCAAAAACUUCAAAAAAAAAAAUCCCAUUUGAAGUUCCAUAACAAGAAAACAACAAAACUAUUUUGGUGCUGAGAACUGAACUCAGGGCCACAUUUCUGUGUUGGAUUCGUGCUACCACUAGGCUGCAUCCCUAUUCUAACUGCCCAUUUUAAAACUGGGUGAAAUAUCUGGAAACACCAUUUCACCAAAGAGAAUAUACAAUGAACAAUAAACACAUACAAAGACAUUUGGCAUAAUUUGUCACCAGGGAAAUCAAAUCAAAACCCAAAUGAUAUACCAUUUCAUAUCCAUUAAAAUAGUUAUGAUCACUAAGUCCCAUGAUGUUGCAAGUCAAGGCACUGGCACUUAUAGGUAGAGGAAGGAUUGGGUCUGAGGCCCUUAGGUAAGGCACACUAAACAAAGGGGUGUAAGUGACUUUGGAAGACAACUCAGCGUGAUCAUAUGAUCCUGCAACUCCACCCUCAAUAAUAUACACCCAACAUAUUUGUAAACAUACGACUACACACAGAAAAAAUAAACUUGCUUAUGACCAUGAACAUUAUUCACAACAACCAAAAGGUCAAAGCAACCUAAAUAUUCAUAAGCAGGUGGUUCCCAAAAAGUAAAUAAAAUGUAGAAUGCUCAUGUGAUGGAAUAUUACUCAGCCAUAAAAACAACAUGCUGGGGGCCAGGUGUAGUCAUACCUGGUUGAACACCCACAUCACCAUGUACAAGGUCCCAGAUUUGAGACUCCAUUUCCUACAUGUAGGGGGGAAGCUUCACAAACAGUGAAGCAAGUCUCUUUGUCUGUCUGUCUGUAUCUAUCCAUCUAUCUAUCUCCCCUGCCCUUCUCAAUUUCUAACUGUUCAGUCAAAUAAAAAAGGGGGGGAGAGAUAAAGCAAAAUGGUUGCACCGCACAAUGGAUCUGUAGUUCAGGCAUCAAGGCCCAGUGAUAACUCUAGUCAG